GCCUGAUACAGACGGAGAACCACGGGACGCACAACAGAGGUGGAGCCGCCCCUCCCUGCCCGUGUGACAAAGAGACUGCGAGGAACCACUGCUCUCUCUCUCUCUCUGGGUUGGACUCGUUCAUUCGUCUCGCGCUGGUCGCCCGCGCCUCGUCACAACGCGCGCGGGAGAUACGGGCGUCACCCGAUCGCCCAUCAGCCGUUUCCUCGCCACCAAACCCUCUCCUAUAAUCCAUAAAUAUCUUCCGCAGGAAGAACUCCGUUAGCUUCUUUCCUCUGUACGUUGUGGGUUUUUCUCUUCAAAGUCCCUAAUGGCGAUGGUGGCGGAUAUCGGCAGUCUUGCGGUGCGGAUCCCGCCGGACCCUGCCGGUCUCGCUACGUCGCGGCAUGUCGGCCGAGAUUUUCAUCGACGAGGGUGGGUUUCGAGGCAAGCACUGCGGCGGAGCCUUGCGGUGAAAUCCAUGAGGAUAGCGGAAAGGGGCGGGCAGGCCCCGGAGUCUGGAUCCUCCAAUGGCCAUCUCUACCCGAAUCUGAACUUUAAGUUGAAUGCUUAUGAGCUUCAGUCAGGCACAUUCAAUGAGAGGGAGACGAUGGUAGCAUCAAAUUCACAAAGGAAAACUAAGAUAGUAUGCACAAUUGGACCCUCAUGUAACACGCGUGAUAUGAUAUGGAAACUGGCAGAAGCAGGAAUGGAUGUUGCAAGGCUUAAUAUGUCUCAUGGAGAUCAUGAAUCACAUCAGAAGAUCGUUGAUUUGGUCAAGGAAUAUAAUGCUCAGUCCAAGGACCAUGUUAUUGCUAUAAUGCUGGACACGAAGGGUCCUGAGGUAAGAAGUGGAGAUGUGACGCAUCCUAUCUUGCUCAAGGAAGGACAGGAGUUUAACUUUACUAUCAAAAGAGGAAUCAGUUCUGAAAACACUGUCAGUGUAAAUUAUGAUGACUUUGUAAAUGAUGUGGAAGUUGAUGACAUUCUUUUGGUUGAUGGUGGGAUGAUGUCACUAACUGUAAGAUCAAAAACUGCUGAUACAGUCAAAUGCAAAGUAAUAGAUGGUGGAGAACUAAAAUCAAGGCGUCAUUUGAAUGUGAGGGGCAAGAGUGCUACUCUCCCAUCAAUUACAGAAAAGGAUUGGGAAGAUAUCAAGUUUGGUGUGGACAACCAAGUCGACUUUUAUGCAGUUUCAUUUGUUAAAGAUGCCAAAGUGAUACACGAACUAAAAGACUACCUUAAAAGAUGCAAUGCAGAUAUACAUGUUAUCCCUAAAAUAGAAAGUGCGGAUUCAGUUCCAAAUCUUCAGUCAAUUAUUUCUGCUUCAGAUGGGGCAAUGGUGGCUCGUGGAGACCUUGGUGCUGAACUCCCUAUCGAGGAUGUCCCUUUACUGCAGGAAGAGAUAAUUAGAAGGUGUAGAAGUAUGCAGAAACCAGUGAUUGUAGCCACAAAUAUGCUAGAGAGCAUGAUAAAUCAUCCAACUCCAACCAGAGCAGAAGUUUCUGACAUAGCAAUUGCAGUUCGAGAAGGUGCAGAUGCCAUCAUGCUAUCGGGUGAAACUGCUCAUGGAAAGUAUCCAUUGAAAGCUGUUAAAGUAAUGCACAAUGUAGCAUCAAAGACUGAAUCAACAAUAUCAAGCACCGUUAAGCACUCAAUUCCUGCAAUGGUAGUCCAGGCUGUAAGUGGCGAGGACUUCUCUCAAAGCCGGAUGAGUGCGCUGUUUGCUUCACAUGCAACAGCAAUGGCCAAUACUGUUGGCACACCUAUUAUCGUUUUCACACAAACUGGUUCCAUGGCGAUACUUCUGAGUCACUAUCGGCCUUCAUCAACUAUAUUUGCAUUCACGAAUGAGGAAAGAGUGAAGCAGAGGCUGUCUCUUUACCAUGGGGUGCUGCCCAUAUACAUGCAGUUCUCCGGUGAUGCAGAGGAGACCUUCUCUAGGGCGAUCAAGUUCCUGCUGGGUCAUGGGCAUCUGAAGGACGGAGAAUAUGUCACUCUAGUUCAGAGUGGAAUACACUCGAUCUGGAGACGGCAAUCUACGCAUCACCUUCAAGUUCGCAAAGUUGGAGGCUGAUGCGAUCUUCGUAUAGGCAAUUCUUUUACCACGAUUACAAGCCAACCCGAGGACCAGAGGGGCUCAAAUAUGGAGACAGUGGGAGCCCAAAAGCAACUGCCCAAUGGUGAUGUGGCCACGUGGCGAAGUCGUUCCCGUCAAACUCUGACCAAUGAGGGGGCGCCACGUUUUCCACCUGUUCGUUCGCGUCGGGCGACUCUGGGUUGUCUGUUUCCCGUUUAAAGUAAACAUUGUAUUCCAAAUGCGACUUCUCGACGUGUUUACCGCCGUGUCAACCCGCUUCGUGAUUGAAGCAAGAUGCGGGUCCCAUAGCAGAAUGGUCGUGUUGGCGAGACGUGCCCGAAAGGGUAGAACGAACCCGCCCAAUUAUUAUCUGUCUAUUUGAGGACACAACGAAUAAACAGAGGCAAAGGGUCGUUAACCAACCUGAGCGAGGACUUUCCGUUCCCCACCCUUCCCGUUCCUUUCGCCUCUUCUGGGUCGCAGGCAAUGGGGCAUCAGCAUCGUCGUCAUCGUCCAAACGACGAGAAGACUGAUUGGCUCUCUACGGACUCCAUGGCACCCAAGACGGACGUUACACAGGAACUUGCUCGAGAGUCUCUAAUAGCAAUCUCCCAAUCUGUUCCAGAAGAGAACCCCACCUCACAUUUGUUGCCGGUUAACCCAGCUGUUGUUACCAUCGCCAGUGCAAAGGAAACUGAAGAGACUGAAAAGUACAGAUCCGCGCUGAUCUCUAUUGCCGCUAUCCAGUCUCCAUAAGUUGAUCUGUGACCUGAGGUCAAUUUGUAUUUCUCGUGUUGAUAAGUUGAUCCGUGUUACUCGUCGCCGUUAA